GGUGCUGCAGGUCGGCUGGCUUUGCGCUGCAGGUCGGCUGGCUCGGUGCUGCAGGUCGGCUGGCUCGGCGCUGCAGGUCGGCUGGCCUGGUGCUGCAGGUCGGCUGGCCCGGUGCUGCAGGUCGGCUGGCUUUGCGCUGCAGGUCGGCUGGCUCGGUGCUGCAGGUCGGCUGGCCUGGUGCUGCAGGUCGGCUGGCUUUGCGCUGCAGGUCGGCUGGCUCGGAGCUGCAGGUCGGCUGGCUCGGAGCUGCAGGUCGGCCACUGUGUGGAUCUGGUGAUAACACCCUUUCAUUGUCGGAUAAAGCUGUCCUAAAGUUGUACGAGUAAUCGAGAGUAGCUAUUGAUACAGUUGUCCCAUUAUGGCUGUGGAACAACUCAGGUCCUGGCAGCAUGACAUUGCAGAGCGGUGCACUCACCUAACCGAAAGUAUUUUUGACAGAUACACGGACGAGGACGAGGCCCUAGACACAACAGAUAUGAUGGAAAUACAAAACCAUGUGCAUCGCCUACGGGCCCUAGUCGAAUACAGCUUGCAGGAUGAGGUGCGAGCCAAAGUGUUACUGUCAGCGGUCCGUGACACUGGUCCCUACUUGUACGAGGACUUGUCGGACCUGGGACCAAGGGGGAAGACAGAACGAAAACUGACACAGUUCAAGUUAACCCGUGCGGCCAAGUGCAUGCUCGACUCCACGCUGCCCACGUUCACAUUCCAUAGUGUCCUCAGGAACCGCAGCCUGCUGGACAUCAUCA
rnacentral:lncRNA from 1 species